GUGGUUGGUGCUGGCCCUCUCGGGGGCAUGUGCACACCCACCAUCCUCAUCUCUCCACCUGUGCACCUCUUGUAGACCUGGAUUGACUUUCCGAGGCAACUCGGUCGGGAAGAUUGCUGCGCUCUGUGAGCCAGCUUUCUUUGCAUGUCCAGGCCUAUGUUUUUCAUAUACCCCUAUAGAAUGUAACAGAAUGUAUUAUUGGGCCUUGUGCCUAUAAACCUUAUACAACUUUCAGCAACGGAUCUCUUGGCUCUCGCAUCGAUGAAGAACGCAGCGAAAUGCGAUAAGUAAUGUGAAUUGCAGAAUUCAGUGAAUCAUCGAAUCUUUGAACGCACCUUGCGCUCCUUGGUAUUCCGAGGAGCAUGCCUGUUUGAGUGUCAUUAAAUUCUCAACCUUAUUAACUUUUGUUGAUAAUGGAUUGGAUUGUGGGGGUUUCUUUUGCUGGCUUCUUCACAGAGAUCAGCUCCCCUUAAAUGCAUUAGCUGGUGCCCCGCGUGGACCAUCUAUUGGUGUGAUAAUUAUCUACGCCGUGGAUGUCUGCAAUCAUAUGGGUUUCGCACUGCUUCUAACCGUCUGUUCAUUCGGACAAUACAUGACAAUUUGACCUCAAAUCAGGUAGGACUACCCGCUGAACUUAAGCAUAUCAAUAAGCGGAGGAAAAGAAACUAACAAGGAUUCCCCUAGUAACUGCGAGUGAAGCGGGAAAAGCUCAAAUUUAAAAUCUGGCGGUCUCCGGCCGUCCGAGUUGUAAUCUAGAGAAGUGUUAUCCGCGCUGGACGUGUA
rnacentral:rRNA from 1 species